UACGUAGGGUGCAAGCGUUGUCCGGAAUUAUUGGGCGUAAAGAGCUCGUAGGCGGCUCGUCGCGUCGGCUGUGAAAACCUGGGGCUCAACCCCGGGCCUGCAGCCGAUACGGGCGAGCUAGAAUUCGGUAGGGGAGACUGGAAUUCCUGGUGUAGCGGUGAAAUGCGCAGAUAUCAGGAGGAACACCGGUGGCGAAGGCGGGUCUCUGGGCCGAAUGAUCGACUGAGGAGCGAAAGCGUGGGGAGCGAACAGGAUUAGA
rnacentral:rRNA from 1 species